UUGGAUUUUGUAUCCCGAAAAUCAGCAACGAAGAUCCGCUUCCGCUUCGGGAAUCACAUCCCUUCAUUAGGAGCUUACGAUAUUUGAACCAAUAUGUUAGAAACAAAGCUCGGCCUGAAUGUUCAAUUGCAGAAGCCUACAUCAUAAAUGAAUUUUUGACUUUUUGUUCUAUGUAUUUAAAUGAAAUUGAAACAAGAUUUUAUAGAACUGAGUAUAAUUAUGAUAUCAUCGAGGAUGUGGAGAACAAUGGUGGACUAUCGUGGACGUGUACGAUUAUUCGGUGGUUGACAAUUUCAACGCUUGACUUAUGAUGAGAUCGAAAAAUCACAUUGGUACAUACUAAACAACUGUGAUGAAGUGGAACCUUACCUUCAGGAGCAUAUGAGUCUUCUCCAAUCAAAUGGACAUGGUAAUUUGUAUAAAAGACAACAAUUAGAGUUUCCUACUUGGCUCAAAAAAAGGGAGUCGACGUAGUCACACAACAAACGUUGAAAGAAUAGAAAACGCUCGCUAAGAAGACGAUGAUCACCAAGCACAAAAUUCUGGCGUAGCUAAGAGGAGAGGUAGAGGCAAGAGUCGAGGGAUCAAUGUCGAUGUACAUGUCCAUGACAAGCCAAUUUGUAGAAAUAGUUCGAAAUUUGCAACUCAAAUUGGAAUAUGUGUACGAAAUAACGUUCCUCUGGAUGUGCACAAUGGUCGUAUGUCAAACAAGAUGUGAAAAGCGAGAUAUUAGAAAGAAUUUGCAACCACUUCAAUCUCGAUAUCAACGAUUCCACUGUUAUGUGAUACUUGAACCACGUGAUUAGUACCAGGUAUAAGGACUUUUGCUACAGGUUGCACAAAUGGUACAAGGAAUUUGAUCCCACGAAGUCCAGAAAUAACUGACAUAAAGAUGUAUUACUAGAUAAAGAUUGAAAUCGCUUGUGCGAUCGUAGGAAAUAGAGAAAUUCAAGAAAACAACUGAAAGGAACACUAGAGUUCGAUCGUCUCUACCAUACCCUCGUACAGCAUGAACUAUUGCAUUCUUACGCCAUGGAGAAAAUAUUAAAAACAAAGAGGGUCGGAAGGUAGAUGACAUUGAGCUAUUUGAGAUUACACACAAAAAAAGCAAACCAGGAGUGGGUGAACUCGGUGGCAAGUAAAAAGCAUGAACAAAUGGUUGAAUUGAGAAAUGCUCCCGUGGAAGAAGGUGUAGAACCUCCAUCAUCUCGACAAGUAACUAUGCAAGUACUAGGUAAGUGCGUUGCACUUGGAUGGCGACCACCAACGUCAACUGCUCAUAAUGAAUGAAAUUCCCAAAAAUUUAAGAAAUCACAUAAUCAGAUCACAUAAUUACAAGCUAUUGUGGAACACAACAAGCUAUGAUACAAUCGCAACAAGGCACAAUUGACUCAACAAUGACUGAAUUAAGUCAAUUUCGAGAAAUAGUAAUGAGGUUAAGCGUCCAAUCAUCACAUGGAACUAGUUCUCAACCGUCCAAUGACGCUUAAAAAGGUGUGUAGAUCUUGUCCAAUCUUGAAGACUACUUUUGUGACAAAUAGAAAAUUGAAGUUUAUAUGGGUCGUACUCUUUUGAUGUAUGUUUUAUUUUAUUUUUUGGAUGUAAUGACUGGAUAGAGAUAUUUGUAAUUUCAUCAAUUGACUUUUAUU